UACGAGGGGAGCAAGCGUUGUUCGGAAUCAUUGGGCGUAAAGGGCGCGUAGGCGGCAGUACAAGUCUGGGGUGAAAGCCCUCGGCUUAACCGAGGAAUUGCCUUGGAAACUGUACAGCUUGAGUAUUGGAGAGGAAAGCGGAAUUCCCAGUGUAGCGGUGAAAUGCGUAGAUAUUGGGAGGAACACCGGUGGCGAAGGCGGCUUUCUGGACAAUCACUGACGCUGAGGCGCGAAAGCCAGGGGAGCGAAACGGG
rnacentral:rRNA from 1 species